rnacentral:rRNA from 1 species
UGGGGAAUAUUGCGCAAUGGGGGCAACCCUGACGCAGCAACGCCGCGUGCGGGAAGAAGGCAUUCGUGUCGUAAACCGCUUUCAGCAGGGAAGACAUCGACGGUACCUGCAGAAGAAGCCCCGGCUAACUACGUGCCAGCAGCCGCGGUAAUACGUAGGGGGCGAGCGUUAUCCGGAUUCAUUGGGCGUAAAGCGCGCGCAGGCGGCGCGCCAAGCGGGACCUCUAACCCCGGGGCUCAACCCCGGGCCGGGUCCCGAACUGGCGCGCUCGGGUGCGGUAGAGGAGAGCGGAAUUCCCGGUGUAGCGGUGGAAUGCGCAGAUAUCGGGAAGAACACCGAUGGCGAAGGCAGCUCUCUGGGCCGUCACCGACGCUGAGGCGCGAAAGCCGGGGGAGCGAACAGG